UGAGGAAUAUUGGUCAAUGGGCGGGAGCCUGAACCAGCCAAGUCGCGUGAAGGAAGAAGGAUCUAUGGUUCGUAAACUUCUUUUGCAGGGGAAUAAAGUGCAGGACGUGUCCUGUUUUGUAUGUACCCUGAGAAUAAGGAUCGGCUAACUCCGUGCCAGCAGCCGCGGUAAUACGGAGGAUCCGAGCGUUAUCCGGAUUUAUUGGGUUUAAAGGGUGCGUAGGUGGUUUGAUAAGUCAGCGGUGAAAGUUUGCAGCUUAACUGUAAAAAUGCCGUUGAAAACUGUCGGACUUGAGUGUAAAUGAGGUAGGCGGAAUGCGUGGUGUAGCGGUGAAAUGCAUAGAUAUCACG
rnacentral:rRNA from 1 species